AGGGUGCCCUGCCUUCUGGCCAGCGCUGAAGCAGUUCCAGAGCCGGAUACAUUCAGGACUGAGAUCAAAGGUCUUAUUCCAGCUUUAAGAGGCAUUCACUGUCCUACUCCUGCUGACUCCUCAGCCCUGCGCUCCAGAAAGGCCAUUUCCUUCUGAUUCCCCAUGUUUCCAUGAUGCUUUUUCCUCCCUUUCUAUAUUUUCCAAACUUGCCUUUCCCAUUCUCUGCUUCCAAAAUGCAUUUUCUUUAUUCUGAGCAGAGGAAUGAUGCUGACAAAAACGACCACAGUGUUUAUACACCUGCUAUAAAUCUAAGUGUAGUAGCAAGAAUUAAGCAAUUUCUUCAAGAUCAGCCCAGGCUGUCUGUGAUACUGGCAAAGCACUUCUGUAUCCCUGACCUCCCCAGAUCGGUGAGGCUGGCUGGGCAGGGGUUGACGGAAUUAAAGAAUUGACACCUUUUGCACCCAUGCUCCAGACAGCUCAUGAGUCAAAUUGGUCCACACAUGUAUCCACCCUUCUUCGAGCAAUUCAUGCCUUAAAUGUGUAGGAAUUGAACCACAUUUUAAAUUCAUCUAUUAAAUUUGAAGUUAAUGAAUUCCACUAUGAAUUAUUUUAAAGUAAUUAGCUCCCCAAUUUUUUUGUAAACAGCUUUGUCAAGAUACUUACUUGCCUUAUGCUUCAUCCAUUUAGAAAUGUGCAAGUCUGCUGGCCAGGUGGUCCAUGCCUGUAAUCCCAGUGGCUUAGGAGGCUGAGACAGGAGGAUCUCAAGUUCAGAGCCAGCCUCAGCAAAAGCAAGGCACUAAGCAACUCAGUAAGAUCCUGUCUCUAAAUAAAAUACAAAAUAGGGAUGGGGAUGUGGCUCAGUGAUCUAGUGCUCCUGAGUUCAAUCCCCGAUACCCCCCCAAAAGAAAGAAAUGUGCAAGUCAGUGGUUUUAGGUAUAUUCACAGUUAUGUGGCCAUCCUAUAAUCAAUCUUAGAACAUUUUCAUCACCCCUGAAAGGAACCCUGCACCCUUCAGCUACCACUUUCCAGUGGUAGACAAUCACUAAUCUUCUUUCUAUCCUUAUAGAUUUACCUGUUGUGGACUGUUCAUAUAAAUGGAAUCAUGAAAUCUGUGGUCUUUUGCAAAUGAUUUGUUUCAUUUAGCACAGUGUGUUCAAGGUUUUCUAUGAUUGAUUUGUGACAAUAAUAUUCCCUUGUAGGAAUAUAUUAUAUUUUGUUCACCUAUCACUUAAUGAACUUUGGAUUCUUUCUACCUUUGGGCUCUUAUGAAUAAUGCUAAUAUGAAUGUUUAUGGGCAAGUUUUUCUGUGUACACAUGCUUUCCAUUUUCUUGGGUAUAUACCUAGGAAUGUGUUAAAAUAAAUAAUUGGGAGGCCUUAGGCUGAGACAUACCCAGUACCUUGGGUUCCUUUAAUAAGCUAACUUAAACAUAACUCAAUGUAAACAGCAAAGGAAAACUUGAGUUCCACUGAUCAGAAAUCACCAACUACUCUUCAACUAGAGACUUUGCCAAUCAGAAAGCUACAACUAACCUCCAACUAGGGACUUUCCACUUUAACCAAUCAACUUUAUUCUUUGUCCUGUUUCCCUGAACACCCUCUAAAAGUUUCUUCUUGUGACCUCUUGCUGAACUUCAUGCCAAUUCAUGAAUCACUGAAUGCUCAAACAAACUUGUUAAAAUUUUAAUGAGCCCAGGUUUAUCGUUUAACAAGUGGAAUUGUUGGGUCAAAUUGUAUCUUUACGUUUUGGAGAAAUUGUCAGACUAUUUUCCAAAGUGGAUGCACCAUUUCACAUUUCUACCAGCAAUGUAUGCUCUCUCCAUAGCCUAACACCUGUUAUUAUCUGGCUUUUUGAUUAAAACCAUCACAGCAGGUAUGAAAUGAUAUCUCAUGGUUUUGAUUUGCAUUUCCCUUAGUAGUGCUAAGCAUCUUUUCAUGCAUUUGUACAUUUGAACAUCUUCUUUAGACAAAUGUCUGACACCCUUUGUCCAGUUUUUAAUUUUUUUUAAAAUAUUUAUUUUUUAGUUGUAGUUGGACACAAUAUAUUUAUUUUAUUCAUUUUUAUGUGGUGCUGAGGAUCAAACCCAGGGCCUUGCAUGUGCUAGGCGAGCACUCUACUGCUGAGCCCCAGCCCCAGCCCCACUUUUUAAUUUUUAAUUCGGUUCUUUAUCUUAUUAUUGAGUUACAUGUGUUUUACAUACAGGUCCUUUAUCAGAUAUAUGAUAUGCUGUAUUUUCUCCCAUUCUGUAUAAUGACUUUCACUUUCUGGGCAGUGUAUUUUGAAGCACCAAAGUUUUUAAUUUUGAUGAAGAUUAUUUUUUCUUUUGUUAUUCAUGUUGUUGAUGUCAUAUUUCAUAAACCAUUGCCAAAUCCAAGGUCAUGAAGACUUACCCCUCUGACUUCUUUCAAGAGUUUCUAGUUUUAUCUCUUAUAUUUAGGUCUUUGAUCCACUUUGAGUUAAUUAGGAGUUGAAGUUAGUUCUUUUGCAUUUAGAUAUCCAGUUGUCCCAGCACCAUUUGUUGAAAAGACUAUUUCUUCUCAUUGAAUUGUUUUGACACUCUUGUUGAAAAUCAGUUGACUAUAAAAGCAAGGACUUACUUCUGGAUUUUCCAUUCUAUUCCUUUACUCUGUAUGUCUGUCUUUAUACCAGUAUCAUACUAUCUUGACUACUACAUAUUUGUAGGUUUUUAAAUCAGGAAUGUGAAUCUCCAACUUUUUUUUUAACAUAUGUUUUUAGUUAUUAAUGGACCUUUAUUAUACCUAUCUAUCUACCUAUUUAUUUAUAUGUGAUGCUGAGAAUCAAACCCAGUGCCUCACACAUGCCAGGUAAGUGUUCUACCACUGGGCCACAACCCCAGCUCCUGUUCUUCCUUCUCAAUGGAAAAAGCUGUUUAAGUUAUUCUGGGUCCCUUGAGUCUUUAUGUGACUAUUAGUACAAGCUUGCUCAGUUUUGCAAAGAAGCCAGCUAGGGGCCUUCCAAAGAUUGUGUUAAAUCUAUAGACCAAUUUGGGAAGGAUUUCCACCUCAACAUUUAGUCUUCUAAUUCAUGAAUAUGGGAUGUCUAUUCAUUUAAAUCUUCUGACAUCUGUCAACAAUAUUUUAUAGUUUAUAGAGGAUAAGUUUUAUACUUCUUUUAUUAAAUUUAUUUCCAAGUAUUUUGUUCUUUGUAUAAUAUUAUGAAUGGAGAUUGCUUUUCUUAAUUUGAUUUUUAAAUUUUCAUCAUAAAUGUACAGAAAUUUAAUUUCUUUUUGCAUAUUGUGCUUGUAAUCUGUACAUUAAUUAACUCAUUUAUUAGUUCUAAUAGUUCUUUAGUGGAUUCUUUAGGAUUUUCUAUACACAAGAUAAUAUCAUCUUCAAAUAGAGAUAGUUUACUUCUUCCUUUUCAAUCAGCAUGCAUUUAAUCUCAUUUUCUUAUACUACUAUUUUUUUAUUUUGUGCUGUUAUUUUAUUAUUUUAUUUUAUUUUUGUUAUUUCAUGUUAUUGAUUUUGUUUUAUGUUAUUUUGGGAUUUUAUUUUAUUUAUGUUGCCCAGGCUGGUCUCAAACCCAUAAACUCAAGUGAUCCUCCCUCCAGAGUAGCUGGGAUUAUAGAUGUGAACCAGCACAUCUGGUCAAUCCUAAUUUUUUUUAUAAGUUAUAUUCCAUGUAUGUAUAACUUUGUUUUAUUUAUUCAUUUUUAUGUGGUGCUGAGGACCGAACCCAGUGCCUUAUAUGUGCUAGGCGAGUGCUCUUCCACUGAGCCACAACCUCAAUCCUAAUUUUUAAAAGUAAAUCCUAAUGCUCAUAUUUUGGUUUGCUUAAAACAAAGUCAGAAGAGAAAAUAGGGGGAAAAAAGAAAACAAAGUUCAAUGUUAAGUACACCUCAUUAAAACUGCUUUUAAGAAAACUAACUUAUCUUAAAGCCAUCACACAGAGGGAAGGAAAGUAUUUAAUAUGCUAGUCCAUUUUCUUAUAAGUUUUUUUCUAGGUGUCUAUUUGGAUGUUGAGCUAUAAAUAAAAUUGAACUCAUACUUUACAGACGAGGGUCCAGAGGCUGUUGGAAAUGACCUUAAGGCCAGGGGCAUUAGAAUGUGGGAAGAUAAAACCCUGCCCACGACCUGGCUGGGGAGCUAUCACCUCUUCAAUCGCUGAUAGCCAGUCGCCCUGUGGUUUGCCAGGAAUGAACCUCUCCCUCUGCAUGAUCCUGGGCUGAUCUCCUCUGGCCCAUGAGGUAUGAAAAGCAAACCAAUCAGCUGUGGGAUAGAAAACAAUUUGUCCUGCCAGAUUUCUUUCUAGUAGGUUCUUUGUGUGGCUUGUUGGUGCUUUUGCAUGUCUCUCCAAUCAUUUGUGUGCUGUGCACAAGCACUCCCUAAAUGUUAUUUAGAUAGAUGUGACAUUAGCAUGUUUCCAUGUCAAUAAGAAUAAUUCCAUAAGUACAAAAUAUUACACUGUCUGGUUAUUAUUAUAAACAACCACUUCCCAGAAAGAUACUGGAAGCUCUUUGGAGAACACAGCACUAAGUUCUUAAUGUACUUCUUUGGAGAAUGCUGUGUGUCACCAGCACUGUUGACCAGAGUUACGGUUACACCCCAGCUUUCCAACAAGGACAAUCCACUGACAAUCUCUAGCACUUCACUGUCAGCAGCCAGACGUGGCCAGGACUGUCCAGCGUAUGGCCCUCUGUUGAGGUUCUUCCAUAAACCCCACAAAGUCUGAUAGGGUUGAGGCUACAGAAAAAAUUAGUUUUCCUAAUGUGGAUGUGUCAGGAGUCAGCAUUUAAGGAGAAAAAUUUUAAUUUUAAUGUCUAUCUUGAAAGAAGUCAAUGAGGCAGUUCCUAUCAGACACAGGUUGUUCACGGAUUGGGGAACUUGAGAAAGCACCAGGUGAGCCAGUGUGGACCCACCCAAGUACUGUACUCUAAAGAGGUCAACCUUGGACCCUCAGAAUGAAGGCCAGGGCAGGCACAGGAGCAGAAAUCUCUCUGUGUACCCAACAACUUCCUGAAGUCUUGUGGCAUUGCUUGUGUUUCUGAGGGUGCCUGGACAGACCCUCCACGGUUACAGCUCGCCAUUCUCUCACCUCUGCAAGCCACCUCUGCAGGGAGGUUGAGGAUCAUGCUCUCAACCUUGGGACACCAUCAUCACUGCCAGGGCAAGUAGCUCUCUCUUGCUUCUGCUUAUGGAUUCUCACUUGUCACCACACUCUUCUCCCUCCCCAGUGUGUUUGAGAUGUGUCCUCAGGUUUCCUUGUGUGUGCACGCGUAUUGUAAUUCAAGUGAACAGCGGUGGACAUUUGCCCUUCCUCACUGGUGGCUGUGCGUGGCCACGGUUCGUUACUCUUCAUGCCUCUACCGGUUUCACGUCAAGAAAACCAAAACCACAAGAGGACAAGCACUUCAGCAGUUUUAGCUGGUGCUGAUUUGUGGAGAUCCCAAGACCUAGGCAAAUGUUACCCAUGUUACCUCUGCAUGUGUCUCACAGAGAAUUAGUCUCCUCAGGGUGCAAAUAAUGUCAAUUGUUACCCGCUCUGGUUUAUUGUGAACUGGUUCCAGCUUUCACUCAUGAAGCUGGUAGGUAUUUAAAUCAGAUGCUUGAGCACUCUUCCUUUGGAUCCUACAAAAUCCCUGGAUCAUGGUGGGGGUCUCAGAGCUCUGAAGAGGUCCCCCAAGUGUUCAGACCUGGGGUCGCCAGGUCAGGGCAGGUACUCAGCAGCAUUCACAGGUCUCCCUCUACCAAGAAGGGAGCUCCAGGGCCACUCACACCCUCCACCUGGGGCCUGCCUGGGCCUCCACAGACCCCAAGGAGCAGCACCCAUCUUAUUCUCUUACCUUGCCGGCUUCCCUCAGCUUUCUGCUUGUUCUUCCCUGACUCUGGGGAGACAGAGGACAGUUUCGGGCUGCAGUCCCUUUUCAAGUCUCCAAUACACAGGGCAUUUGUUUUGCCUCUUUGUACCAUCAUAGGGAUUCAUCUUAAAACCACAAAGGCACCUACUUUUCUUUUCUGGCCAUAGCAAGAUAGGAUGAAGACCUUGAGAAUAGAAGCUGGGAUAUAGCUCAAAGGUAGGGUGCUUGCCUAAUUAUGCACGAGGCCCUCAGUUCAGUCUUAAACACCACAGAAACAAAACAUUAACCAAAGACUUUGGGAACAGUAAAUCUGUCUGUCUUCUGGAAGGGGGAAAUACCUUUCAUUCUUUUUUUUAAAAAAAUAUAUAAGUUGUAGUUGAACACAAUACCUUUAUUUUUAUUUAUGUGGUGCUGAGAAUCCAACCCAGGGCCUCGACAUACUACAAGCGCUGUACCGCUGAGCCGCAGCCCUCAAUCUUUCUUAAUAAGCCAUAAGCCCACUCUUUCCUCAUCCCACAAGAAUGAACAGAAGGACUUACACAGCACAGCACCCCUGGAGGAGCUGCAGGAGCUGUGGGUUCCUGGACCCAUGUGAGUGUUUUUGGAUUUUAAGAAGUAAAAAGACAUUUUUUUUUCCUUCUCAAUCAGUCACUCAACAUCCUGUGGCACUGAUAUUUAUUGAGCAUAUAGUGUACUCUUGAUGCUCUGCUAGGCAGCUAGCUAGAUACACUCACAUUUUAUCUUCACAACAAUGCUGUGAGAUAGAGAAAGUAGUCUCCAUUCUCCAAAUCAGGAACAUAAGACUUAAAAAAAAAAAAAUGUUAAGGAACUUGCUCCGGGUCGAGCAGUAGAGCCAAAACUGCCAUCUACCUGUGGCUUAGAGUUGAGGUUUAUGUAAAUACUCUGGGUUGAAAAGACCUUUAUAUAACCUCAUGCUUUUUAGAAAGUCACAUUCCAGCUGCAAAACCUUCCUCUGGCUAAAAGUAAGGAUGACUCAGCAAGCAAGCUUGGCCUCAUUGGGUUAUUCUGGCACUUUCUGCUUGCACAUACCCCUUCCCCAGGGGAUAUAUUCAAAACCUGGCUCUGCUAAAGCUCUGGGAAUUCAUCCUGUGGUUGUUUUGCCCUGUGCUGGCCUCCCUGUGCUUUCAGAAAAGCUUGACAAGGAGUUCAGUCACCAGAAACACCAGUCUCACUUUCAGGGAACAGGUUAUCGUGAGGCAUAGAACUUGCUGGUCAAGGGAAGGCUCUGGAAUUGGACCUCCAGCAAUGGGUAGCCAUGGGCCAUCUCCCACUGCUGACUCCGAUGCACCCACAAGAGAGACUCCCAGAGGCUGCUAAAGUGUCCUUGACCCGGUUAACUGGUAGAAGCAGGAAGCAUCUCCCCUACACUGUAUGUUUCCAUUCUAUGGAAAAUGACUCCAAAGGACAGCUCUGUCAGGGUUCUGCCACCCUAGCUGUCUUGUUUCUUCACCAGAGGGACUUAGUGGCUGGGCCAGCUGCCUCUAACAUAAGGAAAUCAUUUCUAAUUGGUUGCUGUUUUUUGCAUAAAAGAUCUUUGAGCAGUAGGUGGGAAGAGGCGUUUCAGUCUGACAGAUGGAGAAACUGAGGCAAAGAGUAGAUGAAAAUUGUGCUUUUCACCAGACAGCAGGAGAGCAGAACGUGGUCUCAUGUUUAUUCCCCAGACUAGGUUUUUCCACCUGUGACUGCAAGGAUCUGCAUCAAGUUCAUGGCUCUCAAAAUUUAUUUUAACUUCUUAAACUUCAAAAACAAGGGCCUAGGAAUCCAGGGCUCCUGCAGCUGGAGCCCAGGAGGGCUGUGUGAAGGGCCUGGCACUGGAGCAGCACUGCCCCCUGGCGCCCAUGCGCAUGCAUUCCCAGCUCUCCCAAGAGUCUGGGUCCACACUUAACCUCCUCCUCGUUUUCUUCAGACUCACACGCUCCAUCUAAAUGGGAAGAAGUGGGUAGGCAGGGUACACCCUCCUAUGCCCAUAACCAGACUUCCUGCCACACAGUGCCAACAGGCUUUGAGAGCCAGAAUAACUCUGGUGAGAGGCCAUUGUGUGUGGUCACAACUCCAGAAGUUCUGUCCACAAGGGUCUGUCAAACCCAAGCUGAGAUUGUCUUGUUCCAGAGAGGUCCUCCAUCCACCAAGGACAGGGUCUGAGAAGGGGCUAGUGCUUCCUCUUUCAAAGUCACCAGGGAACUGAUGCCCCUGCCUCUUGUCCUUGACUACUUCCCAAAUGGGAGCCACUAUGGUGAUCUGCCUCCCGCCCCUUCCCUCCACACUGGUCACACCCUCAGCUUCCCCCUGAAGCAGUCCCACCCUCCCCAAGCACUUCCACAGUCCCCUCUGGCUGCCCUGCUCCCCUUUCCACAGUCAGCAAACUUCCCUGGGGCAGGCUGAAGGCUUCCACCUUCUGCUCUCCCUGGCUCUUCUCAGUCACCCAUGGGAGUGAGAAGUUGGUAAAAGAGGGAUGAGCCAUAUGCAGGCAGGGGGCGGGGUGGGGGGGCAGAUUGAGAUGCAUAGGCUGUUAAACCCUUAAAGAUAAGUACUGCCCACUCCCACCCAAUUCAAUAAUUACACAAUUUUAAACUGCAAACAAGUGCAAGUCCAACAAAACCCUGGUUUCCUGUGAUAAUAACUUAAUAUCUUCUUUUUUAAUUUCAAAAUUUAAUCUUUUUCGGUUUCAAAUUUUUGGAGACUUCAGCAGUGCAGGGCACUGUGUCAGGCAAUGUGCUUGGGGGUCAUGAAGGGAGGUGGGUAUGAAAUGUGCUUUCAUGUGCAGACUGGUCCAGGUCAGGUGUCCAGGCCAGGUGGAGGCUGCCCUCCAUGAGCUUAUUGGGUUUGCCAUCAGCUCAACUCUGGCUCCUACUGGCAAGCCUACAAUGAAACCUUUCAACUGCCCUUGGCCUCAGAGAUAGAAUGGGAAGCAAAGAGUAAACUUAGUGUGUUCUUUUUUGUUUUUUUUACUGUUUUUUAUUAUGAUAAAAUUUGCCAUUUUAACCAGUUUUUUAGUGUACAAUUUAGCAGCAUUCAUUGCAUUCACAAUGUAGAGUCCUCACCAUUUCCCCCCAAGGUUUCCAUCCUCCCAAACAGAAACUCUGCCUAAGCAAUAAUUCCCUACCCAGCUUUAGCCCUUGUUAACCUCAAAUCUACCUCAUCUCUAUAAAUUUGCCUACUCUACAUAUUUUGCUUAAAAAAUGUUUUUAGUUGUAGAUGGACACAGUAUCUUUAUUUUAUUUAUUUUUAGGUAGUGCUGAUGAUCGAACCCAGUGCCCCACAAAUGGUAGGCGAGUGCUGUACCAGUGAGCUAUAACUCCAGCCCUACUCUAUAUAUUUCAUUUGUGCAAUCAUACAUUAAUUGUCUUUUUGUGUCUGGUUUCUUUCACUUUUAGAAUACUAUUUUCAAGGUUCAUGCAUGUUGCAACAUGUAUGGACCCUCAUUUUUUUUUUUAAUACUGGGAAUUGAACUCAGGGGUGCUUUACUCCCAGCACUUUUUGUUGUUAUUUUGUUUUUAUUUUUUAUUUUGAGACAGGGUCUGCUAAGUUGCUGAUGAACUUGGGAUUCUUCUGUCUCAGCCUCCCUGUCACUGGAAUUAAAGGCAUGUAUCAUGGGGCUGGGCCCUCAUUUUUAAAAAAGGCUCAAUAAUAUUCUAUUGUAUGGAUAGACCACAUUUUGUUUAUCCACUCAUCCUUCGAUGGGCAGGUGGACUGCCCUUUGGCUAUGGUGAAUGGUGUCGCUGAGGUAUGUGAAGUCUCCUGUUCUGGUCCCUCCAGGCCUUCACUUUUUGUGGACCUAGCCUGGGAGUAGAAUUGCUGGGUCAUAUGAAAAUUCUACAUUUACCCUUUUAAGGAAUCAAAAUUAUCAGUUUUCCUUAUUCUUGGUCAUAUGUUCUGUUUUGACACUCAUUUUCUUUUAUGAUAUUCUUAAACCUCUUCCUUAAAUGUAUAUAUUUAUU